ensembl:lncRNA
UCUCUCUCUCUCUCUCUCUCUCUCCACAGAGACGCACCAUAUGUCCGUGUUUACUGAGAGAUCAGCUGUGCUCUGGAGUGUGUGGACUCUGGGGAAACUUCCAGAAGCUCUUCGCCUGCUCCAGUCUCUUUCAUGUGCGUUGAGGGCGGAGCCAUCCUUAUCUCUCCCGGCGCCAGACCCAGACGGCCAAUCAGUGGCUCCAAGAUGGUUGCCACUAGAGGAGGGAGGACAGAGAGGCGUGGUAGGAGGUCAUAGUGAACAGUAAACACAAAGCACCUUUGAGAAGAGUCCAAACGUGCUGGGGAACAGAACGGAACGACGACGGGGAUGGAAAGGAGGCAGACAGAGCAACCGUUGAGGGAAGAGAAAACUCUCCAUUACAAGAUGACCAGCGAGCUUCAGG